AGAGUUUGAUCAUGGCUCAGGAUGAACGCUAGCGGCAGGCUUAACACAUGCAAGUCGAGGGGUAUAGGUUUUCGGACCUAGAGACCGGCGCACGGGUGCGUAACGCGUAUGCAAUCUACCUUUUACAGAGGGAUAGCCCAGAGAAAUUUGGAUUAAUACCUCAUAGUAUUAUGAGUCGGCAUCGAUUUAUAAUUAAAGUCACAACGGUAAAAGAUGAGCAUGCGUCCCAUUAGCUUGUUGGUAAGGUAACGGCUUACCAAGGCAACGAUGGGUAGGGGUCCUGAGAGGGAGAUCCCCCACACUGGUACUGAGACACGGACCAGACUCCUACGGGAGGCAGCAGUGAGGAAUAUUGGUCAAUGGGCGCAAGCCUGAACCAGCCAUGCCGCGUGCAGGAUGAAGCAUCUAUGGUGUGUAAACUGCUUUUGUACGAGAAGAAACACUCCUACGUGUAGGAGCUUGACGGUAUCGUAAGAAUAAGGACCGGCUAACUCCGUGCCAGCAGCCGCGGUAAUACGGAGGGUCCAAGCGUUAUCCGGAAUCAUUGGGUUUAAAGGGUCCGUAGGCGGUUUAGUAAGUCAGUGGUGAAAGCCCAUCGCUCAACGGUGGAACGGCCAUUGAUACUGCUAGACUUGAAUUAUUAGGAAGUAACUAGAAUAUGUAGUGUAGCGGUGAAAUGCUUAGAUAUUACAUGGAAUACCAAUUGCGAAGGCAGGUUACUACUAAUAUAUUGACGCUGAUGGACGAAAGCGUGGGUAGCGAACAGGAUUAGAUACCCUAGUAGUCC
rnacentral:rRNA from 1 species